UCGGAUUGGAUUAGAUUUUAAAAACUUUAAUUACUCUACAAAAAAUAAACUGUUUUAAAUUAUAAUAAAUCAUAUAUAUAUAUAUAAAAGUAAGUUCCACUCUCUCCUUAUUGGUGGAAAAAUAUUUAAGGCUUUAAUUUUUUUUUUUUAAUAAAUAAAUAAAUGUUUAUGACAAUUAUUCAAUACAAAAUUUAAUUACACUAUAAGUUAUAAUCAAAUGGCAAAGAAAAUGAAAGGACUUAAUCAUA
rnacentral:lncRNA from 1 species